AUGGAGGACGUUGUGGAUGCGUACAUGGUCCACCUUGAACUCAGCCCCAACAACAUGAAGAACAGAGUCAAUAAGUUUGCCAAGCGGACCAAGAAGUUUUUCAGCAAGGGCAUGGCUCUCCAUCAGAUCUCUGGUGCUGUCCGAGACGCGCAGGAGCUCACCAAGGAGCUUGGCGAGCUCCGUCAAAGGUACGCGCUUGAGGCCUGCGCCAAUGGUGCCAGUAAUAUCGUUGAUCCUCGCAUGAAGGCUAUGUACAAAGAUAUCACAGAGCUCGUGGGCAUCGAGGAGACACGGGAUGAGCUGAUUGAGAAGCUAUUUGAUGGAGAUGGGAUGUCAAGGGAGCAACUCAAGACGUUGUCUAUUGUUGGAUUUGAAGGAUUGAGCAAGACAGCACUUAGCAAAGCAGUGUAUGAUAAGAUCAUAGUGCAGUUCGAUUGUGGAGCGUUUGUUUCAGUCUCUCGAAAUCCUAAUAUGACAAAUAUAUUCAAGAAGAUGUUGUACGGACUUGAUAGGAUUCUGUUUGCGCACAUCAAUGAGGCUGUGUGGGACAAUCAACAACUCAUCGACGAGCUGAGAGCAUUUCUUCAGGAUAAGAGGUACUUAAUCGUGAUUGAUGAUAUAUGGAGUGAAGAUGCAUGGGAAAUUAUCAAGUGUACUUUCUCUAGGAGCAAUCUCGGUAGUGGAGUAAUAACGACAACCCGCACAAGCAGUGUCUCUAAAGCAUGUUGCCCAUCUAGUGGUGAUAUUAUUCAUAAUAUGAAAUCCAUUGAUGAUGGUGAUUCCAGAAGACUCUUCAACAAAAGAAUAUUCUCCCAAGGAAGUGAUUGUCCCAAUGAAUUGGAGCAAGUAUCUAUAGAAAUUUUGAAAAAAUGUGGCGGAGUACCACUAGCCAUCAUAACUAUGGCAAGUCUUUUAGCCAGUAAUGAUCAACAUAUAAAACCAAAGUAUCAAUGGGACAAGAUACUCAGUUCUAUUGGUCGUGGGCUUGCAGAACGUGGUACUGCAAAGGACAUGCAGAGGAUACUAUCCUUUAGUUAUUAUGAUCUACCUUCCCACCUAAAGACUUGUGUGUUAUAUCUCGGUCUAUUCCCAGAAGAUCAUGACAUAAGAAGAGAUCGGUUGAUACGGAGGUGGAUAGCUGAAGGCUUUAUCCAAGCUGCUGAAGAAGAAAUUAGACUAUUUGAGCUCGGAGAGAGAUAUUUCAAUGAGUUGAUCAACAGAAACUUGAUUCAACAAAUAUAUAUUGAUGUUGAAUAUUGGUCGGAAGGUUGCCGUGUACAUGAUAUGGUACAUGAUCUGAUAUGUUCUCUGUCCAGUGGAGAAAACUAUGUUAUUAUAUUGGAUGGUACUAAGAAAAGCAGAAGUAAUUCAGAUAGCAUGGUUCGCAGAUUAUCCUUUCAGAAUAGCAUGUUAGUGCUCACGACCCAUCGGAUUGACGCCACAAGUAUGUCAAAGUUGAGAACUGAUGUUAAUCUGAUUCAGACUCUUUCAAACUUCCAAUUUUUGCGUAUAUUGGAUCUAGAAGAUUGUGAUCUUAGGGAAAGUAGUCACAUAUGCGUUGAGAAUUUAUUACAUCUGAGGUACCUAGUGUUACUGGAUACAUAUGUUGGUGUUCUCCCAUGA
rnacentral:rRNA from 1 species